AUGUUGGAUGUCAAAUCCCACCAUCCCUUGUCAUUGGUUACACCAACUAUGGCUGAUGGCGACCAUAGUUCAAUAAUGUCUGGAAGGCCAUUCAUUCCCCAUCCUUGCUUGUCACAUGCUGCUUUCCAGACUGUUACACAUCACCUUCUGCUGAUCCAAGUGUUUAAGAAGGACAGCAUCACUGCAAUAUGCCUCUCUCCUUUUAACUUUCAUCACCACCUGCAGCUGCUGUACCGCUUCACUAUGUCUAUUAUGGCCAGGCUGUCAUCAACUGCCUGCUCAAGCCCUCUUCAAAGUAGCAGAAACAGAAUGAGCAGUUUGGCUAAGAGCCUGUCAGCUGCACUCCAAAGCAAGAGUGGGAUGGGGCUGACACUGAUUGGAUUCUUAGUAACACAGCAGCCAAGCCAAGUGAUAGCAAAAGCUGCUGGAGAUAGACCCUGACCUUUCCAGAGAAGAACCAGGUGUGUAUAGAAGAGGAAUUUCCAGAUACCUUUUUCUAUGGGGACCUUUGUGAGUUGGAGACACAUUCAGAUGCAUGACCUUUGGGGGAACAAUUUGAAGGAGGUUUCAUCUCCAUGGUCCCUCUCUGUCCCUACCCAGAUUGGCAGACACAGGUACCUGAGGAAAGAACACGACUAACUGUGAAAAGAGGGGGGAAGGGAGGGAAUAAAGCAGUUACUUCUCCAUAUGGAAGGACAUUGCUAGCAUUGGUUUGGAACAGAAUUUCUAAUGCCAAAAUCAUGAACAAACCUAAUAGAAGCAGAGCCAGGAAGCAUCCAGGCUUGUAGUACUGUAAUCAUAAACCCAAGUCUUUGGCACAGCUUGGGAAAUGACUUUUUGACAAUAACCUCCAGAAACGUGUAACAAGCACAUAGGAAUUCUGGGAAUUGUAAUCCAAAAGUUCCUCCCACCCCACCCCCACCCCCACCCUGCCAUGUCAAUAUUCAUCUGGCCAAAAGAAUUACAAAGAAAUUAUAAUGAUAGAGUCUCAGUGCAAAACCUUAAUAGACCAGCUAGAAAUCUGCUGAGGCUCUGUGCUUCCAUUCUCU
rnacentral:lncRNA from 1 species